GCCCCCAGUAUUCCAACGUGCCCAGCUGCCUACAAAACCUUUGCUUUGAACAUGAAAAUCUUCUCAGGGAUCUGGUCUUUCAAGAGAAGAUGAUGAUGACAACAAUGACAAUGAUGUAAUAUAAUGGACAUCAUAGAAGCCAUCAAAACUUCUAAAACUGUGUUCCUUUUGGUGUAUUCAGGAGCAAUCACCUGGAGUCACUGUUUAUUUGUCUAAGGGCCUUCAGUGUUGUUCUGAAACCUAUUGUAAUACUGGAUAAUAGAAUCAUAUCAAGUACACAUAAUAUAAUGGAAACUAAUUUCUCUCUUGACAAGAGGGUGAAAGUCCAAAUGUGUAAGACUAUUUUAAUGGCCAUGAACGGUGCUAACAAAAUACUAGCCAUGCCAUUUUCUUCUGGAAACUCAGAAGCUAGCAGCUAUUUAAACAAAGAUGCUCCAUCAAUGACGAGAACACCUCCAGAACUACUUACUGAACUUCAUUUGCUAUUCCCCAGCAAGCAGAGAAUGAAUUCUAAGCUGGGUGUUUUGUCAUCUGGCACCCAAACUCAUCUAAAUGCCCAUUGGUUGGUGAGACUUGCAUGUUAUAUACCAGUGGAAGGUUAUAAUGAAAAAUCUAGGAAUUAAUUCUGGAGAAAGUUGUGCAACAUGAAUGCAUGGGAUCUGGAGGGAGAGGGUUAGAGUUAUUUUGUUAGGUGCUGUGAGUGGAUGGAUGGGAAUAAAAAAAUACAGGGGAAAAAAGUGUAAAUGGGAUAUUAGGAGAUCCAAGAAUGAAUGAGAAGGGUGAUUGUUCACUUAUUAUCUGCUUAGAAAAAGGUUUGUUUUGAAUACCUGGUUUAACAUAAAUUUAUUCAUGCAUAUAUAUGGCAAAGACAUCUAAUCUAAAAAUAUGAUGGAUUUAAUUAUGAUGACAGAUUAAGAGAAUUAGAAAUAUACCAAGGUGAUAAGCUGUUCUUGGUUUUAGUUCUUGGUUUUCGUUUCAUUUUUAUGAUUUUAUGGUUUUAUGGUUGGUAGUUUUAUUACUGUUGUGAAGCACCUAGAGUUGUGUUUUAAGAUGAGCAGCCAUACAAAUCUUUUAAAUAAAUAAAUAUUAGGAAAUGCUGCAACAGAUUAAGAUAAGAGAAAGAUACAUAUAAUGUGUCUAAAGAGAACAAGUUGCUACGAAGUUAAUCAGAGGGAAGAACAGUUACUGUUAAAGAGGCAGAGACUAUGCAAGAGGAGAUUUUGAUGGAAAUUUAAAAAAUAGUUUCAGAAGUAGGUGAAAAGGGCUAAACAAAGGUCCCCCAGCAGAGUGAAUGGGAUUAAGAAUAAAAGUGAUGGAAUGAUUUGGGAUGAAAUUGAAAUGAGAGAAUGUAGGAAGCAGUAUUUUAGAGAUUUGCUUACAAAUUAUCGUGAUAUGCUAAAGAGUAGAACUGAAAUGAAUGAGCAUCGUUGUCUAAAAAAAAAAGAAAGUGGAAAAGAAGUCCUCAAUACUGUGAGAAUGCUGAAAAAUGGUAAGAUUGAAGGUGUAGAUGAUGUAAUUGGAGGAAUGUUAAAACAUGAUGUGGCUUGCUUAUGGAAUGGCUGUGAAAAUAGUAUAUAACAUCUGUGAAGACUGCAUCUGUGCCUAGCAAUUGAAAGACUGUGGUUAUUGUUCCCUUAUUCAGAAGGAAUGAAAGAAGAGUAAAUAAAGGGGGAUUAGAUUGCUAAGCAUGACUGGGAAGGUAUUUGACACAAUUCUGAUUGAAAAGGAUAUAAGAGGUGACAAUGAACAAAAAUUGGGAUGUGUAAUGUUGGGUAGAAGAUGUGCAGGCUAAAUUUUUUGCUCCUCAGCAUAUCAAAAGCGAAGUUUAUUGUAUAUUUGUCGAUUCAGAGAAACAGUGUGAUAAAGCAAAUAGGCUUGAAUUAUGUAAUGUUUUGUGUAAAUAAGGGGUUGAAAGUUGGUUGCUGAAGGCAGUAAAAGAAGUGAUGGCCAUAAAACAUGAGUGACAAUAAAUCCAAAGCUUAGCGAAUAAUUGAACAGGGGAGUACAGCAAGCCUACAUGAUGUUCCUUUGGUCGAAAAAGAGAGACAUAAGAAAUAUAAAGAAUGAAAUGAAAUAUAUGAAUCACUGUACAGAUGUUGUGCAAGUAUGGUUUGCAAUAUAGAAAACUAUGAUAUGGUGUUGGUGCAGAAUAGAUUUCACUGUAUUUCCUCUUCUCUUACUUCAUGCUUUCUUUUUUUUUUUUUUUGGCUAUUUCUUUCUUCUUUUUUGGCCUUUGCAUAAUUUGGCUUACCCCAAAAGGAAGAGUAUCAUUCAUCUAUAUGUAUGUAUGUGUUCAUUCUUGUCUUCUAAUACCUUCUUAAUACUUUAGUAGCUAUUUGGAAUUCUGGCAACAGAAUCAUAUAACUAUAAUAGGAAAUCACUCAAAACAAAAUUAUUUACAAUGGGCUUGUAAUGGAUAGUUUGUGCCUUCAACAAGUCCCUGCAGUUUUCUUGGCAAUAGUUUUGGAACUGGUUUGCCGUUGCCUUCUUUGUAGACCUGAGAGAGAAUGAUAACCCCAAAGUCACCCAGGUAGCUUCCUGUCUAAGGCAGGACUAAAAUGUACUGUCUCCCGAUUUUUAGCUUAAUGACCACUAUGCCCAUCUAGCUGUCUGCAAUGGAUGUUACCAUCUGUUUAUUUAUUUGUUGUGUUUUCUGGCUGUUCUUAUGGUUUUUAUUUGACUAUAUUUUAUUGUGGUUCCAAUGAUAUUUUCUGAUAUUUUAGAUUUAUGUUUUAUACAAUAUAUGUUUUAUUGAAAUUUGAUUACUGUAACCAGCCAAGAAUCUAUCAAUUGCACCAGAAGUAAAUUGAACAAAUAAAUAAAUGUGUAAGGAAAAAAGCUCCCCCUCCCCAAAUAAUUACUUUUAAAUAGCAGAUACUAUUUAAAAUCAGCUGCAAAGACACUACCUCUUGCCUUUAAUUUCUUUGGCUCCCUACUUUUCACUCAUAGUGCUUUGCAUAACACUGGUUAGUCUGAAAAUGAAUAGUGUGAUAAGCACAUAUGUAGGUCUUAGUGGAUUUCCACUGCUGUUUCAAAUAUAUUUGGAAAGGUAAAUUUGGAUUUAGGACUAGCUGAGAAGAUCCUUUUAACUUCAGUUUUUAUCUUAUUAAUGUGCUACUAAAUUCAGUUUUAAAAACUGCUGGCUGGGGAAUUCUGGGAGUUGAAGUCCAUGCAUAUUAAAGUUGCUGAGGUUGAGAAACACUGCUAUAUUUAAUUAAGAAGAAAUUAUUUGAUACCUUUGCAAAUUUGACUAACUUGAAGAGCCUUUUCUUGGAUAAGUUAACCAAACGUAAUAAACUGAAAGCUAAUAAUAAGCAGUGGUGGUCUGUUGUUCUGUUUCUGUGGUCUGUUUUUUAAUAGGUCCUUCCUGGAAUUGAUCUGGCUCUACUGAUUUGUGUAUUAAUCUUGUUGGGUGGGUAGUGCAGUCUCCUGAAUGCCUGGUUUAAUUCCAUUAGUUGAGCAUCUCUGUCAUGGGUCAGAACAAAUGCAGUUGUAAUAGAGGCCUUGGCUAUCAUUGAUAGAUUUGAUGCUGUCUUCUGGGUGGAAGCUGGAAUCAUGCAGAUAUGCAUGGCAAUCUGUAAAUUUUCUGUAUAAUGUGUCACACAGUCUGGUGGCAAGGCAUGUUGUUUUGGCAUCAGUGAUGAUGUACAUGAUGGCUUGAAGUCCAUGUAGGUGGGAGUUGAUAUAUAAUACCUCAAUAUCUAUGGCAGCUAAAAUGGUGUUGUAGGAAAUUGUUUAUGGAGUUCAGUUUUCUUAGGAAGUAUGUGAUGCCUCUGUGAUGCCUUCACAUGUGAUGUGAAGUAGGUGGGAGUGCUAUUGGUGUAAGGUCUGAGCACAGAAUCCUCAGUGAUCCAAGGACUCUUGAACCUUGGCCUCCUAAUCCCUAAUCCAAUCUACAUCACAUGAUGCUGAUGUAAUUUCAUAGAAAGUUGUUCUCUGUGUAUCAGAACAUUUGUCCAUCUGGCUCAUCGCAUCUG